AAGGGUAUGUAAAACCGGCCGCCCGGCCGGCCGCCGCCAGCCUACCCAGCGAGGCCUGACGAUCGAGCGAGGUGCUUGCUAGCUAGCUCCUCAGUCCAGGCACUCCACCACUCACCGUUGCGAAAAGCCAGCUCCCACCUCUCUCUCAUGGGCAGGGUUCACGGUGACGGCCGGCAGCCGCCGCCAUGCAGCAUCCACCAUGCACACCACCGGCCACCCGCACCAGGCGGCCAGGCCCCGAUGGACGGAUGGAUGGCAGCGCGCGCGCGAACCCUAAAGCCGCCUCCGAUCGGAUCAGUCCAGCCUGCCCCCCUGCCACGCCUGGGGCUGGUGCGCGCGCGGGCCCACCUCCCCGCUAUAAAGCGGAGCCGCCGGUACGCGCUCCUCCUCGACCCACCGCCAGUCACUCGCCCAGAUUAGCGGCCAAAAACACCCCAGGUUUUCGCGUCUUUGCGAGCUCACCGCGUUCGCCAGGCGGGGCGGGGCGGGGCGGGCAUGGCUGCCGCGCCGGUCCGGCGGGGGCGGGGGCGCGCGCGCGCGGUGACAGAAGAGAGUGAGCACACGGCCGGGCGUGACGGCACCGGUCAAGGAUGUGCCGUCGCGGCCGCGUGCUCACUGCUCUUUCUGUCAUCCGCUGGCGGCCCCCUCUCUCACACGCCACACGGCAGGAAGCGGCUCUCGCUCACCGCCGGCCGGCCGGCGCCGCCCCCCUGUGGGCUGUGGCUAGCCCUUUAGCCCUCCCGUGCUGCGCCUCCCACCCAUGACCUUGACGUACUGCCUUUGCCCAGGUUCUUUAAUUUAGGUCGUCUCAUCUUGUUUCAAAAGGGAAUAAUUUCGAUCUCAUCUUUUGGAUUUCUUCGAUUUAUCGGCGGUCGUUCUACGCCUACAUUCAUGGCACUGUUUGAAUUGAUGAUUGAUGGAACCUGGGUAGUUUUUCUUCUUGCUGCUUCUGCUGCUGUACUUUUUUUUUCCCUCGUUGUUUCUUCCUCGGCCUCGUACGCCGCCCCUCCGUUCAUCUUUUCCGAGGAGCCCUAUACGGCUACUAUACCAUUAGGGGAAGUACCACCACAUUUUUUUUUACUCCCUUCCCGGGACGGAUUUGUUUACUGUGCCAUUGAUUGAUGAAUCUUUGGAACCUGGAAUAUGGCAGCGGCAUCGUCAGGAAUCUACCGGCCGCAUGGAUCCGUAGUUCCUUCCAUGGCGUCUUUGACCAGAUCUAGUAUUUACCACUCGGUGGUUCUUGCUCUCCUGUACUACUGUUUCUUUCUUGGCUUCUUCUCUCCCUUUCAGGGUUACUGUUAAGCUUGAGAGCCGAUCCGCAAGCAACUCCGUGUGUGUCAGUGAUAAGAUGAGCUCAACAAGGCAGAGAACACAGAACGGAGGAGGAGGCGAGGAAGACAAGGAAAAUGCAUGGAAUUGUGAUGCCAAGGAAAGGCACACGUACGGUCGGCAGAUCUGUCGUCGUCGCUGCCGCCGUUUCAUCCGCACCUAUCAUCAGUAUCUCGAUCGAUCGCAUUGAAGGUUCAAUAUAAUGCACAAGCAUUAAACUUCGUCCAGGAUAACAAAGCAGGGACGCUGGUGAAAGUUGUAGGUGUUGGUUAGUUAAGAAAUAAACAUUUUUUUGGUAUAUGUAGGCAAGCUUUGCAUUGGGGUUUCUAAAUUUGAACCUACACGAACUUCUCACCAGCAUGAAUGUUGUUUUUUCACACACAAAAUGACAAGUUUAAUUUGCGUAUGUUCUUGGUUGAAAAGGCAUGGCAUCGGUGCAAGUGAGUGCCCAUGUGUUUUCUAUAAAAAAGAAGGGCCAAGCUAGUUGCUGCUAUUCUUUUUACUGGACAACCGUUGAACUUUCAACUGCUACCUAGUAGGUUGCAAUAUUGCAUGCUUCCUUUACAAUAUAAUAAAGUCUGAUUAUUGCUUUAAACUGCUAACCUACUGGAAAAAUACUAUUUCUGUUAGUUUUCCAGUUCCAACAUGGCAGUAUAUAUAAAGUUUCUGAGUAUAUAUAUAUAAAGCCUUGAUUCAGCAUAGGAAUAAUCAUGAUGAUAUAUACUUUCUUCUCAUAAGCAUGUAAACCACUUGAAAUAUCUCAUUCCCACUUCUGUUCCAUCAUGGUAUGUUUGCUCAAUCUAAUCUUAUAUCUAAUAUAUCUAUGGCUAUAUGCACCUGCACCUCAAAGCUUCUAUUUAUGUAAAAAAUGUAUAUGUAAUGAAGCUAUGGCAAGGUGGUCAUGUAGAGGUGUAAUCUCUCUCCAACCAAGGCAUUAUUGCAUUAUUAACUUGUCUGUCAUAUGAUAAAGGAUGCAAACUAAACCAGAGCCAACAGGUUUGUUCCUACACUAGUGUGGCAUGUGAAUGCGCCCUUAGUCAAUCUAUAACUACCUUGCAAGCAUACAUCAAGUGAUCAAGAAAUUAAAACAAGAGACAUCAUUUUAGAUUAAACACAUCUCAUUUACUGGUAAUGGCUCAAUGAUGCUUUGUUCAAUUGUAUAUAUGUCAUUUUAGGAUUCUUGCAAUCAAGUCUUUCAACAUUGCUGAUCAAUAUUUAUGGACUUAGAUAAUUGUUGACAUAAGACUGAUGUUGUGAAUGAUCCUGAAAAAUACUUGCAUAUAAUUUUUUUGUUUGGAUUUAUACUUUCACAGAAAUUACCUGUAAAACUGUUAUCUGUUGUUGAACUUGUUGAUGUAGUAAACAACUUGUAGUUGUGUUCACGGAAAGUACAUAGACUUAAUAAUACAUUACAACAAUUAAUAAAAUUAGAAUGUAAUAACAACCUUUGCAUGGCAGGACUGAGCACGCAUAUAGUGUGAGUUCAGCAUGUGGUUCUAUCUGUUUACCUCAUCGCAGCAGCAUAUAUAUAUGUAUGUCUAAUUUAAUAAGUCAUUGAUGAGGUAAUUUUAUUUAAAGUGGAGAGGUAUGAUAUACGAACAUACAAUUAUUUUAUUUUGGCCAUACCAUUUUGUGGCUCACAUGAAUUGAUGCAACUUAACUUGGUAUAUAUAUGGUACUACCUCUGUCCUGAAAAGAAUGCAAUUCUAGUUGUUUCCUUGGACAAAUUAAGUUUGACCAAGUUUAUAUAUAGAAGAUAGUAUUAAUAUUUAUGACACAAAAUAGGUAUAGCUAUAAACAUAUUCCUUGAUGAAUAUAAUGACACUUAUUUGGGCCUUGUUUAAUUCCAAAAAUUUUGGCAAAACGGGCACUGUAGCACUUUCGUUUGUAUUUGACAAAUAUUGUUCAAUUAUGGACUAAUUAGUUAUUUUUUAUCUAUAUUUAAGCCCCAUGCAUGUGCCGCAAGAUUCAAUGUGAAGGGAAAUCUGAAAAAUUUUGCAAAUUUUUUUGGGAAACUUGGUCAAACUCAAAAUGGUUUAACUCAAUUGGUACUCUGCUAGAAUUACAUAUAUAUACGGCAUAGACAAUGUGAUUAUGAAAUUAACGUCUGAGUUAUUUUAUUAGUGUUCAUAUGGUAUCCUACAUAAGCAUACAUAAUUCAUGUCCUGAAGUUAAAGGUGCCGAUUAGAUUGCUUUGAGUAGUUUAGUGGAGAGAAAUGAAUAGAUAAGGUUGUUAAGAAAAGGGACCGAUGACUUCACACGUCACUGUGGUACUACUACAUUUUAUCAUCAAAAGUUCUACUGUACCAUUUUUUAAAAACUAUAUAAAUACCAUGAAUUACAAAUAUUUGAAAGCCAUAAUAUGAUUAAUGGGGAUGUCAAUAGAAUGACAAGUACAGAGUGGUAUCAUAGUGAUUAUGAUGUUAACAAGGUAAGUUCUUCAUUAAAUCAAGAUUUGUCACUGUACCUGAAAAUUACUCGAUGAGUGGAAUUUAUUUGAGCCCUUUACAUGAAUUCAAAUCAAUUGGAUGGAAACUAUGUUUAAACAUUUUUUGAGAAGUGAAAUGGUUGUCCUACCUAGAGAAUGUUUUGAACCUUUAAUUUAUUUGCUUGAUUCUAGCACAUGCCAAUUAAAGUGCGACAUACUGGAAUUCUAAUCCAGGAUUAUCUCACACGGUGCCGGAUCCAGGAUAGCUUAAACUCUACGCACAUAUUGUGUCACACAUGUAAUUGCAGUGCACCAAAUUGUCUCACACGGUGCCGGAUCCAGGCUCUAGCCCAUCUACCAUACCGGUAUACUACAUCCCAUAGAGUCCCUAUAUGUUUUAACGGGCCAUAUAUGGAUAUGGAGAUCGAGGAAGAAGUAUAAAAGAUAUGUAGCGGGAGAAGAAAAAGAUGGAGGUAGAAAAAGAGUAAGCGCUGAUCUCACAGGCUUUAUGCUGGCAGCACGAGGAAAUAUGAAGUAAAUCAAGUGUCAUCAAGAACCAGUGAAAAUGCACAAUUGCAUUUCGGUUUUAUGAAAUACGGUGGUCCUUUUUCCUUAACUUCGUUGCCAAUCUUAGAUUGUGUAUGAUGUUACAAUCCAGAUAUGUUCAUGGUCAUAUCUAGCAGCUCUUUCUACAAGAGGUUCACUACAGCAGCUGCUGCUGUUUUGUACGAGUUCAGUUGCCACAGCAGCAGCAGCAGCUGCUGCUGCAGAGAAGUGCUACCGAACUGCUUACCUA